CAGCCCCGAGCCGCUCUCGCCACCUCCUCCCCCUAGCCCCGAGCCGCUCUCGCCACCUCCUCCCCCCAGCCCAGAGCCGCUCUCGCCACCUCCUCCCCCCAGCCCCGAACCGCUCUCGCCACCUCCUCCCCCCAGCCCAGAGCCGCUCUCGCCACCUCCUCCCCCCAGCCCCGAACCGCCCUCGCCACCUCCUCCCCCCAGCCCCGAGCCUCCUCAUGUUGAAGUGCCUGUCGCACCACCACCGUACCCUCCAUCACCCGCCCCUACAUAUCCAUCGAUUCCUGGUGCGCCUCCGCCCCCGCCACCGUACCCUCUGCAACCGAGCCCUGCUUACCCAAGCCCGCAGCCCCCAACGUAUUCGCCUCCUGUUUAUCCGCCCCCGACAUAUUCCCCUCCGCCGCCUCCCAGUCCACUACCCCCCAGCCCGCAGCCUCCCAGCCCUCCUCCUCCUAGCCCAUCUCCUCCUAGCCCGCCACCUCCUAGCCCGCCGCCUCCUAGCCCAUCUCCCCCCAGCCCACCUCCUCCUAGCCCACCCCCCAGCCCGCCGCCUCCUAGCCCAUCUCCCCCCAGCCCACCUCCUCCUAGCCCACCCCCCAGCCCGCCGCCUCCCAGCCCACCUCCCCCCAGCCCACCUCCCCCCAGCCCACCGCCUCCUAGCCCACCUCCAAGUCCCCCGCCGCCUUCUCCCGCUCCUCCGAGCCCGGCGCCGAAGCUGC
rnacentral:lncRNA from 1 species